rfam:Tropilaelaps mercedesae isolate Wuxi-XJTLT scaffold0000000552, whole genome shotgun sequence.
GAUAACAGCGUUAUUAUUUUGAAAAGUUCAUCUUGAUAAAAUAGUUUGCGACCUCGAUGUUGAAUUAAUGAACCUUUAGGGUGAAGAAGCUUUAAAAGGUGGAUUGUUCCUCCAUUAAAUCAUUACAUGAUUUGAGCUCAGACCGGCGUAAGUCAGGUU